rnacentral:tRNA from 1 species
AGGGGUUUAGUUAAAUGGCAUAACAGGAGCCUCCAAAACUCAAGUCGAAGGUUCGAUUCCUUCAGCCCCUGCCA